AGAUGAUGAAACGGUCUUUUGAUCAGAUGAUGAGAUCUGCUGCCGUUCACCAAAGCCUGUUUUUCGAAAGCCACCUGAUUGAUCUGACUUUAGCGAAUUUCAGACCGUUUCAAGACCUUUGGGACAUGCUACGGGAGAUAGAGCCAAGCCCUCCUUCUGCUACAGGCAGCCCGAAGUUGAAAGAAAAGUUGUAGUCCUGGAUCCAGUGGACUACACAGGGCACGGCUCCUUCCUGACUAUGUGCAGUGCCCAACAGCUGGACUGAGAUCACAGCAGAUUUCCUGGAAGAUGCUUUCGGGAAGGUUGUAAUUGAAAUGCACUGUCUACAUAGUUAUAUGUCCCUGGCCAUUGAAGAGUACUUGGCCCACUACGUAAGCAGGCCCUUGGGAGAGCUAAAUGGCACUCACUGCCGUCUACAACCAGUCCCCUCUGGGGUCUCCUAAAUAGGAGGAAGGGAUUCAGUUUCCAAGACGUAUAUGAAAGAGCCCCAGUGAGCAGCCACUUGAGGAAGGAGGGCUCCUCCCCCAAACGAGUGAUUUUUUUUUAAAGAAAUUUGUAUUGGCCAUCCAGCAACCAAAUGGGAGCGCCCUGGACAACCAGGCCGUGGAGGACACCAGCAGGGAUGCAGGCAGCCCGAAGUUGAAACAAAACAUUGUAGUCCUGGAU